CCUACGGGUGGCAGCAGUGAGGAAUAUUGGUCAAUGGACACAAGUCUGAACCAGCCAUGCCGCGUGCAGGAAGACGGCUCUAUGAGUUGUAAACUGCUUUUGUACGAGGGUAAACGCCGAGACGUGUAUCUGUCUGAAAGUAUCGUACGAAUAAGGAUCGGCUAACUCCGUGCCAGCAGCCGCGGUAAUACGGAGGAUUCAAGCGUUAUCCGGAUUUAUUGGGUUUAAAGGGUGCGUAGGCGGUCGGAUAAGUUAGAGGUGAAAUCCCGAGGCUCAACGUCGGAAUUGCCUUUGAUACUGUUCGACUAGAGUGUAGGUGCGGUAGGCGGAAUGUAUGGUGUAGCGGUGAAAUGCUUAGAGAUCAUACAGAACACCGAUUGCGAAGGCAGCUUACCGGGCUACUUCUGACGUUGAGGCACGAAAGCGUGGGGAGCAAACAGGAUUAGAUACCCUGGUAGUC
rnacentral:rRNA from 1 species